rnacentral:rRNA from 1 species
CGGAGGGCGUAGCGUUGUUCGGAAUUACUGGGCGUAAAGCGCGCGUAGGCGGGUAGUUCAAGUCGGGGUGGAAAUACCCGGGGCCGUCAACCCCGGAACCUGCCUCCGAUACUGGAUGCCUGGAGGACGGGAGAGGCGAGUGGAAUGCCGAGUGUAGAGGUGAAAUUCGUAGAUAUUCGGCGGAACACCCGUGGCGAAGGCGGCUCGCUGGUCCGUUUCUGACGCUGAGGCGCGAAAGCGUGGGGAGCAAACAGGAUU